CCGAGCCUCCUCGCCGUCACCUCCUCGCUGCAGUGGUUCCGGUCCCCUGUCUCUCUUCCGUUCCUGCGUACCCAGUAGCCGCAGAAAACCAGCGAGCUCGUGGACGGAAAUCACGUCGCGUCUCUAGCUCGAUUCUCCGGCGGUCGACUCCAGCCUCCUCCUCCAUCGACGACAAGCGCUGAACACGGGUGAGUUGGAGUCGUUUGUCCUGGAAUUCUUCGGCGGCGACGAUGAUCGUGGUAUUAGACCACUGCCAAGCUCGAUCCGGCUAAUUUGAGGAUCGAUCUCACCAAACUAAGGUCGAAAAUGGAGUCCUUGGUGAAUUCUGAGCCGAAUAGUAUGAUCGGUGCAAGUUUCUGGGCAGCUUUCAUUUUCCGGCCACCAUGGAUGGCGGCGACAGCGGCAGUCCGGCGACACUCCGGCGAGGCUCCGAGAGACAGAAUUCUCUUCUCUCCGAGCUGAUCAUGGAAUCGUCGCCCGAUUCUCAACUGGAAGUAGCUUUUUCCUUUAAUCCGAUUUAGGCUAUGUUUUUUCGGCGCAGGGCAAUAAAGAAAUUUUUCCUAGUUCCAUAAUUAUUUUGCUAUGUAAUUAUGUGUAUAAAAGCUAUGUAUACUAAGAGUUAGUGACUCCGCA